rnacentral:rRNA from 1 species
GACGAACGCUGGCGGCGUGCUUAACACGUGCAAGUCGAACGGAAAGGCCUGCUUUCCCUUGUGGAUUGCGGGUACUCGAGUGGCGAACGGGUGAGUAACACGUGAGUGAUCUGCCCCCAACUUGGGUAUAAGCCUGGGAAACUGGGUCUAAUUCCCGAUAGGACUGCAGGGUGGUGCCUGUGGUGGAAAACGAUUUUCUAGUGGUUGGGGAUGAGCUCGCGGCCUAUCAGCUUGUUGGUGGGGUAAUGGCCUACCAAGGCGGCGACGGGUAGCCGGCCUGGGAGGGUGGACGGCCACAUUGGGACUGAGAUACGGCCCAGACUCCUACGGGAGGCAGCAGUGGGGAAUAUUGCACAAUGGGCGGAAGCCUGAUGCAGCGACGCCGCGUGGGGGAUGACGGCCUUCGGGUGGUAAACUCCUUUCGACCGCGAGGAAGCCACCUGGUUGGAAGGGUGGUGACGGUAGUGGUAGAAGAAGCACCGGCUAACUACGUG